rnacentral:rRNA from 1 species
UACGGAGGGGGCUAGCGUUGUUCGGAAUUACUGGGCGUAAAGCGCACGUAGGCGGCUUUGUAAGUUAGAGGUGAAAGCCCAGGGCUCAACCCUGGAAUUGCCUUUAAGACUGCAUCGCUUGAACAUCGGAGAGGUGAGUGGAAUUCCGAGUGUAGAGGUGAAAUUCGUAGAUAUUCGGAAGAACACCAGUGGCGAAGGCGGCUCACUGGACUGGUAUUGACGCUGAGGUGCGAAAGCGUGGGGAGCAAACAGG